rnacentral:tRNA from 1 species
GGCGAGAUGGCUCAGCCGGAAGAGCACUGACUGCUCUUCCAGAGGUCCUGAGUUCAAAUCCCAGAAGCCA